UCGUCGCCAGAAAAGUUGUCGGUAAGGGUUUUAUUUGAGGUUUCUGCCUUUUUGGACUUUGAGAAGGUUUUGAUGCUGCGCAAUUUUUAUAGUUGAUCCACCGGAGCAUCUGGCCACCACUGGAGCUGCUGCCGGGCCGAUUCGAAAUGGCAGCUGCUUUGUGUUGAAAUUCCGAGCUGAUUAUGCUGCUGCAAAAAUGUGUGGGGCUGUGCUUUGAAGCUGCCUUUGAUUUCGAGUUGAGGCGAAAAGAACUUAUGAGGCAUUUGGGUUAUGGGAUUUGCGUUUUGAGGUAGGGGGCGCUUUCUGAAAACUAUAGUUUAUUAUUGGAAUUAUUACAUAUGGAUACUGAUGUGAGGCAAUGUGUAUUGGGUGAUUGUAUCUGCUUUAUGUGUUAUUUGAUUGACUCGAGUGAUUAUGGAUGUUGGUUUGGUUGAA